ACUGGCCCAGAAAAGGGGACACGAGGACAGCUGCUCUUGCCCCACCCGGGUCUCCGGCACUCAUUCGCUGGAAGCUCAGGCCCCUCCCUCUCAUUUGGGCUGGGAAACACCUCCUGGCGCCCCUGCACUUAGGAGGCCAGAACUCUGCUAAGCUGUACUUCCACAUCUGUCCUCCACCCACCCCUUCAGCUCAGCACCAACACAGCUGCUUUGGAGGUGCGGCUGCUGUGAACACUUGAGGUUUCUGCUCAGAUGUGCUGAGACUUUUGCAGGUGGAGGCUGCCCCUCCUUCUUUCCUCCUAAGAGAGCUGAGGAUGUUUUAAAGAGACAGGUGGUUUGAGACUUACGUCUGAGUUCUCAGCAUCCUCACAUCCAUUGACCUGUGUCAUCCCCCGAUCCUAGCACUGAAGGCAUCAAUGUAAUAAACAUAUGCUGAAAACCUACUGUGUACCAGGCUCUGUGUUCACAGAUACCCUCCAGGAAAAUUGCAUCUUGGUAGCAAUUACAAUGCCUCCAUUUAAGAAAAUCAUUUUUGGGAAAAGGAUGCCUUUUUUCAAGAGCAAGAUAACAAAUAAC